rnacentral:rRNA from 1 species
GUCCACGCUGUAAACUAUGAGAACUAGAUGUUAGGGGGCAUGACCUCUUAGUAUCGUAGCAAACGCGAUAAGUUCUCCGCCUGGGGAGUACGGCCGCAAGGUUAAAACUCAAAGGAAUUGACGGGGGCCCCGCACAAGCGGUGGAGCAUGUGGUUUAAUUCGAUGCAACGCGAAGAACCUUACCUACCUUUGAAUCCACGGAAUUUUGCAGAGAUGCAGAAGUGCCUUCGGGAACCGUGAGACAGGUGCUGCAUGGCUGUCGU